UGAUGUCGAACUCCCUUCUGAAGCGUCUUCAACAAGUGGUUGGUCAAAAUACAGGUUUGCGCCUUAGAAUGCUUAAGUUACUUGCCUUGGCACUAGAUACGGUGAGGUAAUGCUAUUUGUUGGUGAAACAACUCUUCCUGUAGUUCUCCCACUUCGAGUUGUGGGCAUACUCUUCACGAAUUCUACACAUCCCCAGCAGAGUCGCCAAAGAAAUGUGGGCAAGGAAAUCGCGCCUUGCUAGGGUUAGGGUUUCAUGUUGGCUGGAGAGGCGAGAAAUCCAUGAAGAAUAAGGAAUUGACUGAUUGAUUGAAGAGGGGAGAACGACAGGUGGGCGAUUACUCCAAUGACACGUGGCAGAACUCUCAGAAUCCGGAAACCGGGUUAGGGUAGCAGGGAUUCCAAGAACCUUCUUGAGUCUUCGAGUUGGGAGAGAAUUCCAAGUGCUCAGAGCUUCCAAGAGUCCAAGUGUAAUGUUUGGCCAAAAAAACUCCCUCUCCUUCUUAGGAUAGAAGACUAUUUAUAAAGCUUUCCUGGGAAGCAGUCACAUGUUUUAAGAGAAAAUUCCGAAAUACCCUUAGUCAUGUCUUUAAGGGGAAAUUCCAGAAAUACCCUUUAGUCAUCAAAGUAAUGCCCAAAUUGCCUUGUCCUUCUAGCCGCCAAUCCAAUCCCUCAAUCAAUUCCCAAAAUGGGUUGCCUCCACAAGUCUUCUGCCUUGGAGCACGUGGAGGCUUUCCUGGGUCUAGCACAUUUAUUUCUGGCUUUUUUGGUCUUCAUUUAAUUUCAUCAUGGAC
rnacentral:lncRNA from 1 species